rnacentral:rRNA from 1 species
AAGUACCGUCCGAAUAGGGCGGUACCUUGACGGUACCUAACCAGAAAGCUCACGGCUAACUACGUGCCCGCAGCCGCGGUAAUACGUAGGUGGCAAGCGUUGUCCGGAAUUAUUGGGCGUAAAGGGCUCGCAGGCGGUUUCUUAAGUCUGAUGUGAAAGCCCCCGGCUCAACCGGGGAGGGUCAUUGGAAACUGGGGAACUUGAGUGCAGAAGAGGAGAGUGGAAUUCCACGUGUAGCGGUGAAAUGCGUAGAGAUGUGGAGGAACACCAGUGGCGAAGGCGACUCUCUGGUCUGUAACUGACGCUGAGGAGCGAAAGCGUGGGGAGCGAACAGGAUUAGAUACCCUGGUAGUCCACGCCGUAAACGAUGAGUGCUAAGUGUUAGGGGGUUUCCGCCCCUUAGUGCUGCAGCUAACGCAUUAAGCACUCCGCCUGGGGAGUACGGUCGCAAGACUGAAACUCAAAGGAAUUGACGGA